CCGAGUGUGUUAGUUAAUUCUGACUCCUCCCACCCUUGUGUAUUUCAGCUGAAAAGCAGCUUCGGCGGGCCGUUUCUGGAUUCUUCGGGAUUCGGAACGUCGGCCUCGUGCGGAUUUGUGCCCGCCGAAGAACCAACUCUUGAAACAAUUUGAAGUCUGAUUAAAUUUGAUAAUAAAUCA
rnacentral:misc_RNA from 1 species